rnacentral:lncRNA from 1 species
CCCAUUCAAUUUUGUCCCCAAAAUGAUAAGCAUAUUGGAUUGAUAAUUUGGUUACUCUUACCUGUACAAAUCAAAUAACAAUUCAUUGUAAACAAGAGAGUUCAUAAUACACUCAAAAUUAAGACUAAGUUACGUAAGUCAUGAUACGAUUGUCGGUUAAGAAAUAAAAAGAAAGAAGUAUUAAAGUAAGAGAGAGAAAGGAAAAUGUGUUGGGAAGAAAAAACAAAAUAGUGAAUAAUGAAGCAAGAGUAAAUAUAUAUAUAUAAAAAGAACAAGUUGGUGAAGAGUGAAUGAAGGAGAUAAGAAAAUGAAAUGAAACCAAAUAUAGUGUAUUUUGGAAAUGUGUAAUAUUUAUUUCUUUGACAACCUGUGAUGUGUAAGAAAUUGAAUAGUAGAGAUCACUAUUAUUUUGAAAAUAAGAAAUGUAAUAUUAAUAUUAGUUUGAAUUUGAUAAAUCAUAUUCAUCUCCUCCAUCUCUCUCUCUCUCUAUCAUUAAAUAUGCAGAAACCAACGAAAUUUCAACUAAGAUGACGGCUCACCAUUUAACACUACCCUCAAUCUCUGCCGUACCCACCGUCACCGGUAACCAAAUGAACCACGGCGAGCUCUACAGACUAGCCAAGGUAUGGACAAUUGCCAUUCCUCUCAUUUCUUACUCCUACUAUUUCACUUCCAAGAUCCCCAAGG